rnacentral:rRNA from 1 species
AAAUUGCCUUGGAUACUGGGUGUCUUGAAUCUGACAGAGGUCGGUGGAAUUCGUGGUGUAGCGGUGAAAUGCAUAGAUAUCACGAAGAACAUCAGUGGCGAAGGCGGCCGGCUGGGUCAGUAUUGACGCUGAGGCACGAGAGCGUGGGGAGCGAGCAGGAUUAGAUACCCUGGUAGUCCACGCUGUAAACGAUGUAUGCUAGUUGUUGGGCCUUCGGGUUCAGUGACGCAGUUAACGCAGUAAGCAUACCACCUGGGGAGUACGUUCGCAAGAAUGAAACUCAAAGGAAUUGACGGGGGCCCGCACAAGCGGUGGAGCAUGUGGCUUAAUUCGAUGCAACGCGAAGAACCUUACCCGGGCUAAAUCCUGGCCGACCGGUCCCGAAACGG